GAGAUUGCUUCUGGAUUUGCCAAGAUUGGCCAUGUGUUUGGUGCUGGUAGGCUUUAAGGUGUGCUUUACAGAUUAUCUCACGUGACUCUAGCUAGGAAGGAUGCGAUGAAGGGCCAAAAUCCAAUGCCUCCAAUAUUGGCUAGAUGGCAGGAUUUGGCAAUUUGAUAGCCGAAUUCUCACUGUCAGUGGUCUGUAUAAAUAGACCACUCGUUCAGUCAGAUUUCUUACUAUUUAAUCAUCAAUUGCUUUUUUGUCAUUGUAGCUAUCAGGGGAAGACUCCUUCUUCCUCUUGCUGACAUCGUUUCUUUUUGGUGAUCACC
rnacentral:lncRNA from 1 species